CAUAAGGAGCGCCCUCAUCAAAUCCAAUUAUCCAACUACUCCUACUGUAAGUAUAGGCUAGCAUUCAUCUCUCCUAUACCAACCUUAGACAUUUUCCAGUCCCUUUAAGCAACUCAAACGCUGCAAAACCCUGAUGGCGGUGGCGGCGCCUACCACUUUCUCAUCCUCCACCACCACCUCUUCCGCCUUAUCCAAAAUCCUCAAGCUAUCAACCAAAGUUCCUGCUCUCAGCUUGGGCUUCCUUUCAUCAUCUACCCAGUCGCUUAAUCGGCUUCGCGCUUCAGCUUCUCGAGCCGGAGCUUCACUUGCAGGUUCGGUUCUCUCGGCUCGCAUGGUCUCGACUCCCACCAUUAAGCGACCUGCUUCUCUCGAUUUCGACACCUCCGUUUUCACCAAGGAGAAAAUCAAUCUUUCUGGCCACGAUGAGGUCCUUAUAUUUAUGCGUGUUUAUAAGUAUAUAUAUACGCAUAUGUGAAUGUGAAUGUGAAUGUAAAUGCGAAUGUACUUCAUUUUAUUUGCUAAUUCUUUUAUUUCAACUUUGGUCUCAAAUAAAUUAAGGUGCAACGAGUACAAGUAUUGUGAAUGUCUUUGAAUUUCGUACACUGCUGUAGCCGAACGGAAUUAUGCUGCAAUUAUAGUUCGUCUCCUAAAAGAAAGGUUUUACCUUUUAUAUCCUCCGUCCUCAAAAUGAACGUGAAUUUGUUUGGAUUUAGGGAGUGCUAUGGUUUUUAUUUUAUAAAGCUAAAUAAGGUAAAGCUAUCUCUUCUUUUGUUAGGUUGGUAAUUAUCCUGUCAUUAUGAAUUUACAGAGACAACAAUGAACCACAUUUUCCUUAUUUCUAUUUCAGCUAUAUGUCCAUGAGAGGUUCGCACUUCGUCCCCUUCUGUGUUUAUAUAUGAAUGUGCAUGAAUUAAUGGAUUAGGUGUAUUUGCAGUUCUUAUGACUACAAGAAAUAAUAGAGCAUGUUAUAACUCCACUUGCAAUGUGAUUUCAAACGAAAAGUUGCAUGUUGUUCCUGAAGGAUGAAACCCAUGCUAGAUUAAUUUCUUGAGCUGACCACCACUAUAUCUUUCUAUAUAUAUUUAUUGCAUGAGGUUUAUGCUGAGGUAAUGUGGGAUCUAUGGAAUUGUGCGAUGAUGUGGGUGACUGACAUUGCUGUUAAUUUUGUAUGCAGUACAUUGUGAGAGGAGGGAGAAAUUUGUUCAAGCUGUUGCCUGAUGCAUUCAAGGGUAUCAAGCAGAUUGGGGUGAUCGGAUGGGGCUCACAGGUAUUUUAUCUGUUGAUUACUCCACAAUUUUUUAUUUUUAUUGAAUUUAUUUCUUGUCCAGUCGUAUCUUUUAUCCCUCACAGAUUUAUCUUAUGCAUUCUUUGGUGAAUUUCGUUGUGCUUAGCAAUGGAAUUAACCACUUCUCUGUUUCGAUUCUGAAACUUCUUAAGAAUACUCAUUCAAGUGGUGGUCAUUGCUUUCUAUGCUAAUUCUCCUUUUGUUGUUUUUUUUUUCCUAAAGAGUUUCUGUUCAUACGUUUAUGUUAGGUUAGUAAAGUUUGAAAAGGAAUGAAAUGCAUAUUGUAUCAUAUGUGACUCUGCACCAAACCAUCUGUUUUUCUGUUCCAAAAACGCCUUGGGAAAUGAUAUUGGAACAUUGGUGGAAAAAUGUUAAGUCAAUCCUGUCAUAACUGUGGUCUAGCGCACUUGGCAUCCUGCAACCAAAUCAUUGAUGCAUUGAAAUGUGGACAUCUUCCCUUUCUCAAGCUUUAUUUUUUAAUUAUAGGAAUUUGUGCCUGCACAAAAGUCAAACCGCUCUCUUGAUGUUCUACUGAUUUCUGUCAAGAUAAUAGAAACUCUUCUGCCUUUGUGUAGGGACCAGCUCAAGCUCAGAACUUAAGGGAUUCUCUUGCUGAAGCAAAAUCUGAUAUUGUGGUCAAGGUAAUUUGUUAUUCUUUCUACUUUUGUCAUAUUCUCAAGAAAUAAUGUGAGUUUUUCCUCAUAUGAAGCUUGUUCUCAUAUUCUUCAUGCAGAUUGGUCUGAGGAAGGGUUCUUCCUCAUUUGCUGAGGCUCGUGCUGUUGGGUUUUCUGAAGAAAAUGGAACCCUGGGGGACAUAUGGGACACUGUCUCUGGCAGUGAUUUGGUGCUGCUCUUGAUAUCCGAUGCAGCUCAGGUACCAAAUUGCCCUGUUUAUUUAGCCAUGAGGGAUUUGGUGUCAUCCUUUUUACUAGGCUCUCUCUGUAUCUAAAAAUGAAUGCUUGAAUUUUUUAUUUGGUGUAAAAAAUGAUUUUUACAGGAAUUAGUAGAUGAGAGUGUGUCGACCUUUUUUUUUUUUUUUUUGGUUAUCAAUCAUUUUAUCAGCUUCUGAGUUUUUUCCAUUUGCAUACUGAUUAAAAUGUUACAGAAUUUGUUCGUCUUAAUUUUAUGGGAUAACUCAUUCUUAAUUUUGUCAUUCGUUUGCAGGCUGAUAAUUAUGAGAAAGUGUUCUCCUACAUGAAACCUAAUAGCGUACUGGGACUCUCCCAUGGAUUCCUUUUGGGUCAUUUGCAGUCAUUGGGCCUUGACUUUCCAAAAAACAUCAGCGUGAUAGCUGUAUGUCCGAAGGGAAUGGGACCCUCUGUGAGAAGGUUAUAUGUGCAGGGGAAAGAAAUCAAUGGUGCUGGCAUUAAUUCGAGUUUUGCUGUCCACCAGGUUUGUGCAUCUUUGAGUUUGUGGAAGAUGGUGGUGGUUCUGGUUGUGUAGUUGGAAUGUAUGCACAUUUGAGGUUCUUGAUGCAUGAGAUUUGAUGGUUUUUGGCCUUCAUGUUUAGGAUGUUGAUGGCAGAGCUACAGAUGUUGCCCUUGGAUGGUCAGUUGCCCUUGGUUCUCCUUUUACUUUUGCCACUACUUUGGAGCAAGAGUACAAGAGUGAUAUUUUUGGGGAGAGAGGUAAGAGUAGUUUUUAAUAUCACUAAGGCACCGUUUGAUACAUGAAAAUUUUCCCUAGAAAAUGGAAAAUCAAUUCCAACUUCAAUUUUAAGGGUGUUUGAUAGUCAAAAUUUUCCCUAGAAUUCAUAUUCCAACUUGCUUGCCACAUAAGUCAAUUUCCAACUUUUCCUUGAAUUGGAAUAUGGUGAGAAUUCCAAUUUCCGACUACUGUAGCAUUUAUUUAUUUAUUAUUAUUUGGCAAUGAAAACAAAUUCUAAGAAUUAUUGUAAAAAAAAUAUUUCCCUUUAAUUGACAAUUUUCAUGUAAAACAAAGUCAAACGAACACCAAAAGAUAGAUAUAUAUAUAUAUAUUUUUUUGGGCAAUGGAGACAAAUUCAUCACCAAUAACAGUAUAUUCUAUCCCUUUAAUUGACAAUUUUCAUGUAAAACGAAACCAAACAAACACCAAAAACACUUAUUUCAACAUUUUUCACUUGGAAAAUUAUACCAAUCAAAUACAAUAAUUUACAAUUAUAUGGAAAACAAUUUAUAGGUAAUUUAAUUCCCUAGAAUUCAUUUUCUUUCCACCCAAAUUCUAUUUUCGCAAUCAAACGGACCUUAAUUUCUUUUUGACUUGAUGAUGAAUCCUGAAUCUCAACUUUCUGAUCAAUAGGCAUUUUGCUCGGUGCUGUACAUGGUAUUGUGGAAUCAUUGUUCAGGAGAUACACUGAAAAUGGAAUGAGCGAGGAUCUUGCCUACAAGAACACUGUGGAGUGCAUAACGGGAACUAUUUCUAGAACUAUAUCAACAAGGGUUAGUUUUAGUAGCAUUAGUUUUUCAUCCUACUUUAUCUACUCUUGCUAUAUAUCUGUUGCUGCAUACUUUAUUUGAUCCUUUCCAUUACUUUUUGUGCUUGAUGUAUCUCCUAAUUCAUUUUUUAUGUUGAAUUUUGUGAUAGGGUAUGCUGGCUGUCUACAAUUCAUUGACUGAAGAUGGAAAAAAGGAGUUUGAGACUGCAUAUAGUGCUUCAUAUUAUCCCUGCAUGGACAUCUUAUACGAGUGCUAUGAAGAUGUAGCCAGUUGCAGUGAGAUCAGGAGUGUCGUCUUGGCUGGACGUCGCUUUUAUGUAUGUUGGAUUCAAUUUCUAUCCUCACAAUUUAAGCAUUGUGAUUUAUUUUUUUAUCAUUCUUUUUUCUCUUCGUCCAUGCAGGAGAAGGAAGGUUUACCAGCUUUUCCGAUGGGGAACAUUGACCAGACGCGAAUGUGGAAAGUUGGUGAGAAAGUUCGAGCAGCACGUCCAGCAGGUGACUUAGGACCUUUGUAUCCUUUCACUGCAGGUGUCUAUGUGGCAUUGAUGAUGGCCCAGGUGUGGAUUCUUUCAGAAUCUUAACUUAAAUUUUCUUAUUUACAUGCUUUUUAAAUAGCAUAUUCUAGUUCUACGCAGACUAGAAGUGAGAUUACCAUGUGAAAUCUGUGUUGCUGAUAGUUGUAAUCGCAGACUGUUAAUUGGUUGAUCUGAAAGAGUGAAAGUGGUAAUGCAUACUUAGGUUUGAUCUCUGCUCAAAUGCAUGUUGCUCGAAUUGGUUUUAAAUGUCUAUUCAGUUUACUUCAGAAAGACGAAUGAUAUUUUAGCUGGAAAAAAUGGAUUAGCAAAUAUAUUUUGUUGGACAUUUUAACUGAUGAUAAUGUCCCUGAAAUUACUUUGAAUGUGAAUGUAGAUUGAGAUUCUAAGGAAGAAAGGGCACUCCUACUCAGAGAUUAUCAACGAGAGUGUCAUUGAGUCUGUGGAUUCUUUGAAUCCUUUCAUGCAUGCUCGAGGCGUUUCAUUCAUGGUUGACAAUUGUUCAACAACAGCACGGCUAGGAUCGAGGAAGUGGGCCCCUCGUUUUGACUACAUUCUCACGCAGCAGGCUUUGGUAGCAGUGGAUAAAGGUGCUCCCAUUAACCAAGAUCUCAUUAGCAACUUCCUAUCAGAUCCUGUACAUGGAGCUAUUGAAGUAUGUGCCCAAUUGAGACCUACUGUGGACAUAUCAGUGCCCCCGGAUGCUGAUUUUGUUCGUCCUGAAUUGCGUCAGUCAAGCAACUGAUGGUUUUGAAGUUCAAUCUCCUAAGAGGCUUGUCUCCAUGGAAUUGAGGAGAAAUUCUUCAAACCAAGCAUAGAUUUGAAGUAGUGUUUUGAGUGAGCCAGGUAUCCAGAUGUCUUAAAUUAAAGGUCCUUUGCGAUUUUCUCUAUCUCCUCCAGGAGGAUUAUGCAGUUAUAGUAGCAGAAUGGUCCUGUAUUUUACACUAUCUUGCGUUAGUCGGACUUGGUAUGUGUUUUGAGUUGGUAAUAUUGCAAUAAUCAGUUUUUAUUCUGACCAAUUGACUUGGAAGGUAUUAUGAGAGGGAGUAAUUCAUAUAUUUAAUUUAUGAUGUGAAUUGGUUCUUUGAAAGGUCAAAUUAAAGCUACGAGGUAUCCUUUCAGGCGUUUUAUAG
rnacentral:lncRNA from 1 species